UACGUAGGGGGCGAGCGUUGUCCGGAUUUAUUGGGCGUAAAGAGCGUGUAGGCGGCCAAACAGGUCAGCUGUGAAAACUCGAGGCUCAACCUCGAGACGUCGGUUGAAACCGUUUGGCUAGAGUCCGGAAGAGGAGAGUGGAAUUCCCGGUGUAGCGGUGAAAUGCGCAGAUAUCGGGAAGAACACCCGUGGCGAAGGCGGCUCUCUGGGACGGUACUGACGCUGAGACGCGAAAGCGUGGGGAGCGAACAGG
rnacentral:rRNA from 1 species